rfam:Populus trichocarpa scaffold_4_contig_157, whole genome shotgun sequence.
UCUAGAACUCGAGAUAUGGGCUGAACACUGAACAGUAUCUGGGAUGCAGGACAGAUUCGGACUUCUUCAUUGUUGCUACAAUUUGGACUUGCAAAAAGGCCUUGUUAAAUCUUGGACUCCUCAUGAAAGUUGUAGGCCUAUGUCUUAGCUUUCCAUC